GGGGUCAUAGCUCAGGGGUAAGAGCGCAUGCUUAGCAGGCACAAAGUUCUGGGUUCAAUCCCCAGUACCUCCG
rnacentral:tRNA from 1 species